rnacentral:rRNA from 1 species
AGAACGAACGCUGGCGGCAGGCCUAAUACAUGCAAGUCGAGCGGGCGUAGCAAUACGUCAGCGGCGGACGGGUGAGUAACACGUGGGAACAUGCCCUUCGGUACGGAACAACUCAGGGAAACUUGAGCUAAUACCGUAUGAUCCGGCAACGGCAAAGAUUUAUCGCCGGAGGAUUGGCCCGCGUCCGAUUAGCUAGUUGGUGAGGUAACGGCCCACCAAGGCACCGAUCGGUAGCUGGUUUGAGAGAACGACCAGCCACACUGGGACUGAGACACGGCCCAGACUCCUACGGGAGGCAGCAGUAGGGAAUCUUGGACAAUGGGGGAAACCCUGAUCCAGCCAUGCCGCGUGAGUGAUGAAGGCCUUCGGGUUGUAAACUCUUUCGACGGGGACGAUAAUGACGGUACCCGUAGAAGAGCUCGGCUAACUUCGCGCCAGCAGCCGC